rnacentral:rRNA from 1 species
UACGGAGGGUGCGAGCGUUGUCCGGAUUUACUGGGUUUAAAGGGUGCGUAGGUGGGUCUGUAAGUCAGUGGUGAAAUCUUCAAGCUUAACUUGGAAACUGCCAUUGAUACUAUAGGUCUUGAAUUAUCUGGAGGUGAGCGGAAUAUGUCAUGUAGCGGUGAAAUGCUUAGAUAUGACAUAGAACACCAAUUGCGAAGGCAGCUCACUACGGAUGUAUUGACACUGAGGCACGAAAGCGUGGGGAUCAAACAGG